GGGCCAUAGCUCAGUGGUAGAGCAUCUGCCUUCUAUGCAAAAGAUCCCAGGUUCAAUUCCUGGCAUCUCCA